AGAACGAACGCUGGCGGCGUGCCUAACACAUGCAAGUCGAACGAGAAAGGGGCUUCGGCUCCGAGUAAAGUGGCGCACGGGUGAGUAACACGUAGGUAACCUGCCUCUAAGAUUGGGAUAACUUGUCGAAAGACGAGCUAAUACCAAAUAAGACCACGGUCUCCUCGGGGACAGAGGUCAAAGGUAGCCUCUAUUUAUAAGCUAUCGCUGAGAGAUGGGCCUGCGUACCAUUAGCUUGUUGGUGAGGUAACGGCUCACCAAGGCAAAGAUGGUUAGCUGGUCUGAGAGGAUGAUCAGCCACACUGGAACUGAGACACGGUCCAGACUCCUACGGGAGGCAGCAGUGGGGAAUAUUGCGCAAUGGGACGAAAGCCUGACGCAGCAACGCCGCGUGAGUGAUGAAGGCCUUACGGGUCGUAAAGCUACGUGUACGGAGGAACGAAGUGCUCUUGAGGUGAACACGACCGUCGGAGGUAGGAACCGUACCCGUAGAAACGG
rnacentral:rRNA from 1 species